rnacentral:rRNA from 1 species
GAUGAACGCUGGCGGCGUGCCUAAUACAUGCAAGUCGAGCGAACAGACGAGGAGCUUGCUCCUCUGACGUUAGCGGCGGACGGGUGCGUAACACGUGGAUAACCUACCUAUAAGACUGGGAUAACUUCGGGAAACCGGAGCUAAUACCGGAUAAUAUAUUGAACCGCAUGGUUCAAUAGUGAAAGACGGUUUUGCUGUCACUUAUAGAUGGAUCCGCGCCGCAUUAGCUAGUUGGUAAGGUAACGGCUUACCAAGGCAACGAUGCGUAGCCGACCUGAGAGGGUGAUCGGCCACACUGAAACUGAGACACGGUCCAGACUCCUACGGGAGGCAGCAGUAGGGAAUCUUCCGCAAUGGGCGAAAGCCUGACGGAGCAACGCCGCGUGAGUGAUGAAGGUCUUCGGAUCGUAAAACUCUGUUAUUAGGGAAGAACAAAUGUGUAAGUAACUAUGCACGUCUUGACGGUACCUAAUCAGAAAGCCACGGCUAACUACGUG